UUAUGGGAAAAGGCGAGUAUUUCAAAAAAAAUAUACCUAAAAGAUAGAAUUAGUUAUUCUAGCAUUCAAUAUAGUUUAAGAUUCCCAACUUUAGAAUGGCUGAGAAAAGCAACAUAGGACAUCAUAAGUCAGAGCAUAUGACGGUGAGAGUUAAAUAUACUCACAGUCCUCGUGCUUCUUCCUUUCUUGGAUACAACUGCAGCAUCUGCAUAUUUAGCCAAAUGUCAAAUCCAAAAGAAUACUAAAAAAAGGUGUCAGGCAUACAUAGUUCAUAGUGAAGGUAAAAGACAGUUACAUAUACAAACCUCAACUCUGAAGAAUCUCCCUUCAAUUGAGUCUCUAUUUCAUUUAAAUACAUUACAAAUAGAGGCGACCUACACCACCAAUUGUCGGCAUCUUUAGUCACAUAUAUGGAAAGUAAAACUUACGAGCAAGUUGUCAAUGCUUAAUCGAUAUAAGGAGCACAUUUGUAAACAGCAGUUAGAGCAGAAGGUUUAAGUAAAUUAAAUGAAAGCGUGGUAACUGAAAAUUGUACAGCCUUAAGAAGUCUAUCGGGCUAACUCAGAGUCAGAGGAACUCCCCUAUAUUAAUGAAGUAAGCACAGCAAGAGACAAAGAGAAAAACCAUGAUGUUACCAUAAUGGAAUUGCAACAGCUACAAGGACCGGGGAGAGUUUCCACAAUUUAUGAAGCUGCCCGUCCAGAAAACCAGCCAAGUAAUCAAGAAUUCCUUUUUCCUGCCAUGGCCUGCUAGAAUCAAUUACAAAAGAAGAGCAAAGGAACAUGCAAAGAAUGGGGGAAUGAGCCAUAUAGAACGGCAUUAACUUGCAGAUAAGUAGUAAACUGAUCAUUCAGACACCUUUGAAUCCAGUGAUUCUUCUUUCAAAUGAAAACUUUCAGAUCUUCCUGAAAGCAAGUUGCAGACUUCCUGAUACAGUUUUGAGAUUGAGAAGGAGUGAUAAGAAACUGACAUGAAAUAUUCGAUUAUGCGAUUCCAUUUA